rnacentral:rRNA from 1 species
AACGAACGCUGGCGGCAUGCCUAACACAUGCAAGUCGAACGAGACCUUCGGGUCUAGUGGCGCACGGGUGCGUAACGCGUGGGAACCUGCCCUUAGGUUCGGAAUAACUCCCCGAAAGGGGUGCUAAUACCGGAUAAUGUCUUCGGACCAAAGAUUUAUCGCCUUUGGAUGGGCCCGCGUUGGAUUAGCUAGUUGGUAGGGUAAAAGCCUACCAAGGCGACGAUCCAUAGCUGGUCUGAGAGGAUGAUCAGCCACACUGGGACUGACACGGCCCAGACUCCUACGGAAGGCAGCAGUGGGGAAUAUUGGAAAAAGGGCGAAAGCCUGAUCCAGCAAUGCCGCGUGAGUGAUGAAGGCCUUAGGGUUGUAAAGCUCUUUUACCCGGGAUGAUAAUGACAGUACCGGGAGAAUAAGCUCCGGCUAACUCCGUG